GGCAGAGGCUUUAUUUUUGUCGUUUGUUCACAGUUCUUGGUUUUUGUCAAAUUUGGUUUUGUCAAAUGCUUCAUCGCCACUGCAAGAUCAUCCAGGCAUCAUGCUGAUACACAUUUUUCAAAUAUUUAAAGGGGUCAUAACUUAAUUUUCAAAUUCAGAAUUUCUUUAUUUUUCCCUGAGGUCCACUAAUAAGAAUUUUAGGAGGUAAUUUAGUUUUCCAUAUUUUUUUCACUCUCUUUCAGACUCUAUGUGGAUCAAAUGGGGCCUUUUUUUUCGAACAUAAUAUCUAAAUGGACCAUAUUUAAUUAAAUAAUCUUUCUUCUGGGAAUCUUUCCUAUUGUGGAUGAAUCAAGAUUUUAUUUUAAGGAAAAAUGUUUGUGAAAAACAAAAAACGGUUCAGAUAUAGUUUUCCCAUCUUUAAUAUAAGAGCCUCUUGUGCAAAGUCUGUAUAACACUGUGACAGGUUUACAAAACAAUCAACUAUGGAAUUUGCUACAUUAACUGUUAAAGUUGGACGUUUAAAAAAUAAACUUCUGUCACCCUUUGGAAGUAUCAUCAGUUUACUGGAAUAAUAACAGCAUUCUGUUUCCUCCUCUUUAUUAUUUCAAUGCAAGAGGCAGAUCACAUUUCUGAAUACAGAACAGAUGUAAAUAUGGCAGUCAUGUCUUAAUAUAUACAUUUAGUUCACAACCAAAAUCCUAACUAUUUUUGCUUUCAGUAGAUUUUUGGAUUGUAGACGUUUUCAGUUCUGAAUCUUCACAUAGUAGCUCAUAUUAAACUACACUACAAUUCAAAAGUUUGUGAUUUGUAAGAUUUUUUAAAUAGUUUUUGAAACAAUCUCCUAUGCUCACCCAGCCUGCAUUUAUAUUCAUUUAAAAAACAGUUAUAUUCAGCCAUUACUGCAGUCUUCAGUGUCACAUGAUCCUUCAGAAAUCAUUAUAAUAUGCUGAUUUGCUGCUCAAGAAACAUUUCUUAUUAUCAGUGCUGAAAACAACUGCUUAAUAUUUUUGUGGUACAUUCUUUGAAGAAUAGUACAUUUAAAACCGCAUUUAUUUGAAACAGAAAUCUUUUAUAACAUUAUACAUUUCUUAUUGUUACUUGUGAUCAAUUUAAUGCAUCCUUCAAAAAAAAAAAAUCUUACUGUCUCUAGAAUUUUGAAUGGUACAUAAAGAUGAAGGAAAAUUUGAUUUUUUUUCAUGAUAUGACCUCUUUAAAAUGUUAUAGCACAAGCGAUUGUUUUUUGACAGCACAGUUUAAACUGUGGCUACACACAAUUUAUGUGAUCAAGAUUACAGAUUAAAGAAAUUAGGUAAACAAAGAAUAAACAAAA